rnacentral:lncRNA from 1 species
GGGCGCUGAGGCCCCUCUCCCAGGCCAGCGUGCAGAAGAGGGUGUGCAGUAGCCGCCAGCGGAGCAGCACAGCACAGCGGUAGAAGGUCCCCGAACAGUGCCAUGGCUGCCGCCCGAAUCCCGUCCCGCUCCUGCAAGGCAGAGGCUCAGAGGCACGGCCAGACCUGUCCAGGGGUCCCAGCUUUGGUCCAAGUUGGGACCCCACACCUUGUAGGGGUACAACUCAGUUCUUUCUGCAGGAUUCCUUCACCCAGGCUCUCGGCUCCCGGGGAAGGGAAGGGCUGGGGCUCCCCCCUCACACAGGGCUCUCUGGUGUCCCUGAGGAUGUAAGAAUCACAUCUCCCUUCUACCCACAACUGCAUCCUGGCAGCCCAGGCCUCAUGAAUGCAUUUGAGGGGCGCCUAUCCCCCAGAUUCCCCAGUGAAGGAAAAACAGCCACGCUAACCGUGCUGACAUGUCAGAAAGCAAAUCUGGGUAGGCUGUCGUGGGGCCGGAGACCACUGCACUUGGAGACUGAACGUGAGAACUAGUUCAGCCCUGUGGAGAAGGGGGUCUCACACUGUCACCCAGGCUGGAGUACAGUGGUGUGAC